AGCUUGGCAAGUGUCCUCAUCAUCGGUACUGCUGACUCUGUCCUCCUGAAGAAUAUCUUGCAGGUGAAGAAAUUCGGCAGCGCUCAGUGGCUCAUCUGCCUGAUCGUCGGUGUCAUCAUCUGAGUUCCUCUUCAGACCGGGCCCACUCCAGCACUAAAGGAGAGAACCCGAGCUGCUGAGUUCAUUCCCAUGAAGGCUUAACCAGAGCAGAGGACGGCCCAGGCUGGAAUCCCAGAACUUUGAAAAGCCAGUUUUCUUCAUCCUCGAAUUCUGGCAAGUCCAUUGCACUGCAUUCUGCUUCAGAGGUCUUGGGGCUUUGCUUUUCAGACAUAGCUCCGGGAUUCGGCUUCUCUGUAGUAUCCUAAAUGCCUAUCUUCCAUGGAGGUCUUAGAAAACAUUGACCUCUACAUUUUCCUUCAGCUAGGGUAA
rnacentral:sRNA from 1 species